GGACACCUAGUUAAAUCUGAAUUUCAGAUAAAUGACAAAUACAGUUUUUUAUUAAAAAUAUGUCCUAUGCAAUGUUUGGGACAUACUUAGACUAAAAAACAACAAAAACACAUUUGUUGUUUUUCUGAAAUUUAAAAUUA
rnacentral:miRNA from 10 species